rnacentral:rRNA from 1 species
AUGUACAUCAAGAUUGAGAGUUGUAGGUUGAAAUGGUACAGGAAGAACCAGACAAAGAUCCGUGCCGACCUGUAUAAAGGAGUUGUUGAUGCAAUUACAUCCGGGGAGACCCGGGCAAGCGUUGUUGGAGUAAGGAUAGUGCUCCCUGGAACGUACCCAGGUGGCGACCGCGACAUGAAGCGGAGGCAUAUGGAUGCCAUGGCAAUUGUCCAUACCUACGGGAAGCCUGACAUCUUCUUGACCAUGACCUGCAACCCUAACUGGGAAGAGAUAACGAAUGAGUUGUUUCCUGGUCAGACAGCGCAAGACCGACCUGAUCUUGUGGCUCGUGUGUUCCAUGGCAAGCUAGAGGCUAUGAAAGAGAUGUUGUUCAAGAAGAAUAUCUUGGGUGUUGUUAUCGCACAUGUAUACGUAGUCGAGUUCCAGAAGAGGGGCCUCCCCCACGCACACUUUUUGUUGAUCAUGGAUUCUGCCUAUAAGCUUGUCGUUCCGGAGCAGUACGACCGACUCAUUUCUGCCGAGCUCCCAGACAAGCAGAAGUAUCCUGAACUCCACGCCUUGGUGGUGAAACAUAUGAUGCACGGACCAUGCGGUGCUCUCAACCCCAAAAAUGUGUGCAUGCAACAGAACGAGUGCAAGUGCAGAUACCCGCGGCCGUUCAAUGAAAACACGGCAUAG